UGGUGGGCAGGUGUGUGUGUUGCGCUCCGUCAGCCGCGAUGCCGUGAGGCGGGGUGGUGUGCAGUGUCAAAAGUGCUACAUCUCGAACAACUUUUGUGAUGAUACGACUUGAGGUGUUUCCAGCGGGUCACGGAUUACGUAUAGCCCUUGUCCAGGCCUAGUGAGGCAGCGAUCUCGCGGCUGUGGCUUAUAUCCGAGGAAGGUUUGUUGAAUUUUAGAUCGUCAACACCAACCAACGGGCGGCUGGGUGGCUGAUGGGCCCGAUAGCGAGCGACAGACGUGGCUCGGAAAGGAAGCUUUGAUUCGAACUUUUCCCCUCCAUGUCAUUCAUGGCGGCUCAAAUCAGUUUACGAAGAGUAUUGGCACCAUAAUGAUAACAUACAUUAAGAUUGUGGCAGGAACUGAUGCCUCUGGAAUAGAAAAUUUAUUGGUUUUAGCCUGUGCCAUGUAGUGCUUGCCACGAUUCAUUCAUUGCUUCAGAAUAUAAUCGAGCAACGUCGUUAGUUUGUAGCAACUCAAAGAGGAAAAUGAGAACGCAGACAGAAAUCAACUAAUACUGUUGACGAUGGAAAGGUAUAAGAAAAACCUACUAACAAAAAGAUUUCACUGAAGAUUAUCAAUUAACACAACUGCAACAGAAUCAAAUUGAGAAAUCAAACUAGUCUUGCGAAGCUGAUGUAUACUCUCGUCUUUGUAUGAGCACUACGGAACGCUUGCCAUCCACACAGGAGAGGGUGUACCCCUGCCCUGUGUAAUAGUGUGUAUUGUUGUGUGUGUGUUGGCGGGCAGCGGGGCAGUGAGAGCAGUGAGAGCAACAGGAGCAUCGUGACACGCGCGCACGCCUACAGUGAAAGUGAAGACCUGGGCCUUGCAGAAUUCACCAUUUGAGUCUUCCUGAGGAACAGUUACGCCAGAAAGACAAACAGAGGUUGUCCUAGCACCUCCUUACCAUGUUGAGAGGGAAGGACCCGAGGAAGGGACGCUGCACGGGUGUGACCGCAUCUCACCACCGAGGCCGCCUUUCACUGCCAUUGUGAUCCACACGCCCUACGCCCUCACGACACCACCUGCCCCACACCACCGCCUCGCCAUUCACGCCGCUCUCACAAUCCUCUCAGCUCACCUGAUGGCCGCUUUUAUUAGUGAUGGUGUAUUGUUAUUAUUAUUGUUAUGUUACACACACACACACACACACACACACACACACACACACACACACCUCGCACUAUCCAAGUUUGGCGCUCAUCCUAUGUCUUUGCGUCCAAUAUUAUCACCCCGAGUUUCGAACAGCUUCGACAAGUAUCGGUCGUGUUAACCUGCCGUCGGCGUCACUGACUCAAGACUCCAAUGAGAUCUUCCAUAUCUGUAACACUGACAAUGUCAUACCCACGAAUGGGUAACAUUUUGGCCACCUGAAGCAAUGAGUCCAUGGUGGCUGCUGCUACACUGUCUCAUGCGUUGCACUGAGCUCACCGCCACUCAUUUCUGCCUCGACCCACGGGAGACCUCUCCUCCACCCAUGCUUCACUGUAGCGAUGUUGACAAAGUGCCAACAUUUCACCAUUACAACUGUUGCUUUAUUGAUAUUAAAACUACGAAAGAAA